AUAUAACUCUGGUUUUCUGUCCAUGAGCUCCAUCUGUUGCUUUGUCUGAAUGUUAUAGUGAGAUGGGAGAGAGUGCUCAAACAUCCUCAUAUUACAUCAUUUUGUGGAAAAUUAAGUAAAUGCUCAUUCUUUAUAAAUAAUCAUGUAAACAUAUGACGUAAAUUUAAAUAUUUGACAGAGAUGUCAUGAAAAGGAAUGUUACAUUGUUUAUUGCAUAUAAUUUUUUACCUUAAAAAAAAUCACAUUUCAAGUGACUUCCUCUAUCCCAGGGGUAGGCAAGUUCGGUCCUAGAGAGCCGCAGUCCUGCAGAGUUCAGCUUCAACCCUAAUCAAACACACAUGAACAAGCUCAUCAAUGUCUUCAGGAUUACAAAGGCUACAGGCAGAUGAGGUUUUUUUUUAGGGUUGGAGCUGAACUCUGCAGGACUGCGGCUCUCCAGGACCGAACUUGCCUACCCCUGCUCUAUCCCAUCCAUACUACUGCAAAGUGCAGAGUCACCAAUUUACUGAAUAGUACAAUGAGUAAGAAAACAUGCAUUCAAAUGUGCUUAGACAAAUAAACAUCAUAAAUGAUUAAAACCCAUGAAUGUUUCUAGAUAUGAAUAAGGGCCCAGAGUCAAGAAUAACCUGCAUGUCAUUUACUUUACAGACACUGACACCAUCAACAGACAAGGAUCAUGGGAAAUACGUACACAGUGCCAAAGAGAAAUAUUGUCCUUAUUGGAAACACAGGAAAUGGCAAAAGCAGCAUUGGGAAUAUGAUUCUUAGAAAAACUGUAUUCAUCACUAAAGCAUCAGCUAAUUCUGUUACAACUCAAUGUCAGAGAAAUGAGAACAUGGUUAGUAAAAAACAAAUUACAGUUAUCGACACACCUGAUUUUUUUGACAUAGAGGAUGGCAAGGAGGAGGAGAUGAAAUCUGAGAUCCUCAAAGCUCUGAUUGAAUGCGCGGAAGGCAUUCACACCUAUCAUUGUCCUAAAGGUUGGAAGAUUCACAAAAAAUGAAAAAGAUGGUGCAACAACUUCUGAACUCAUUGACAGAGGAUGCCUUGAAACACACACUGAUCUUAUUCACUUUUGGUGAACAACUAGAAGGCCAGACCAUUGAAGAAUUUGUGAAGACCAAUUCACAAUUAAAAGAGCUGGCUGAUAAAUGUGGAGGUCGCUGUCACGUCAUCGACAAAUACUGGAAUAGAAAAAAAAAGGAAAACAGGUGGAAAAAUAACUGAAAACCAUUGAUAAAAUGGUGGAAAAAUAACAACUGCUACAGCAAUGAUCUACUUAGAGAGGUGGAUAAAGCAAAAUUAAAAAAGAAAUGAUUGCAGGAUUACGUGAUGAAGAAGCUUAAAGAGCUGGCUGAUAAAUGUGGAGGUCGCUGUCACGUCAUCGACAAAUACUGGAAUAGAAAAAAAAAGGAAAACAAGGUGGAAAAAUAACUGAAAACCAAUUGAUAAAAUAGGUGGAAAAUAACAACUGCUACAGCAAUGAUCUACUUAGAGAGGUGGAUAAGCAAAUUAAAAAAGAAAUGAUUGCAGGAUUACGUGAUGAAGAAGCAAAGUACACAUUUUACAUAGCAUUUCUACAUUUUACAUAGCAUUUCUGAGGUGGGCUGCAAGAAUAAGAACAUUGGUACUGGUUGAUGCUUUUCUAGGUGCUCGUGAUGAAGGAGUUUCAGAACUAAUUUCUGAUUUCAGAAAAUUUAGAAAGUAUUGCAAAAACCGCUCUGGGUCCAGAUCCGGUUCAUUGUGUCGGAAGAGUCACUGGGGGUGCUUUUAAAGGAGCUGUUAGUGGAGUUGUUUCUGGAUGGAAUGCAAAAGAUGCUGAUUCAGAACUGACACCACCAGCAAUGCAGCGACGACCAGCUUUGAGAAAGCUAUAACUUUAAUGAAUGAUGCACAAACUAAGCUUGAGAGUGAAAAAAUAUGCUUGACGCUGCAACAAAUAUGCUCAAGAAAAAAUAAACUAAUUUUUGAAUAUAAAAACAUUGAAUAUCAAAUAAAAUAAAACAUUUAAAGUAUAAUACAUGAUUUUCAGUUUUAUCAAUUAGUGGCAGCAUUAAAAGUUGUGGAAUAACUGAGAAUCAAAAAUGCCAUUGAGAUUACAUUUCUUUCAGUUGACAUUAAUCUAAAUAAAGUUGUAUAAUGCAUGUUUUUAUGCCAAUUUAGCCACACAUGUACAGUUUCACUGUAAGGAUUCAUUUAGCAUGUAGUAGGGCUGGGUUUCUUUUAAAGUCAAGUCACUUUUAUUUAUAUAAUGCUUUAUACAAUACAGAUUGUUUCAAAGCAGCUUUACAAUGAUGAGAAAGUAAUGAUUUGAUUCUGCUGUAAAGCAGCUUUAAAAAGACAAUAGUAAACAGUAAAUAAAGUCCAAUGUAAAGUCCAUCAAUUAUGAAAUGAUUUAAUUCAUAUAUAAAGCAGCUCUAGUGAAAACAUCAUCCAGCUCAGUUGAGUUCAGUUCUCAUCCAACAGUGUCAGUACAGUCAAUUCAAAAAUAUUUUCAAAUAUCAAGCCAAGCGGCGACAGUGACAAAGAACCCAAACCUCAUUUGUGACAGAAAUGGAGAAAAAACAAAGAAACAAACAAACUUGGGAGAAACCAGACUCAGUCGGGGCCAGUUCUCCUCUGGCCAGAUGAACCAACAUGGUGUGGCUUAAUUCCAGGCUGCAACACAAAUCAGACCAUGAACUGAUAUCUUUCUGAAUUUUUUAUCCAGUCCCUUCUGCAUGAAGAUCAGGUAUAUCAUGCUGGCUUAUGGAAGGAGUUAAAGCUGGCCAUAGGGUCUGUGCAGAGGACUUGUCUGUCUUCACAGGGGAUCUGUCUCUACGGCUCGUCCAGUUGUCAUGGUCUCCACUGAUAUUUAGGGCUGUUGUGGUCAUCACUAGGUGCAGGUCCAACAUCUGAUCUGGAUACGGGCUGGAUUCAGGAAAAGAGAGAUUGCUGUCAAAGAGCACACCAAGGUUACUAACUAACAGCCAAGUUUUAGACAUUUUUAUAUAUAUACUAUGCAUUCUGUUGAUUUUGUGAACUGGUAUGCUUCGUCAGUCUGUGAAGACAUUAUAUUCAGCACUAUAUGUAGUUUGUCAUGGCAUCUAUAAAAAAACAACAUGUUUUUAAGUUUUGCUUCAGUUUAUUUUGGAUAAUACUUAUAGAAUACUUAUGAACAAUACUUAUCUUUUUUCUUUUUCUGAAUUUGUCAUUAUAUUGGAUUUCAGUUUCAUUUCUGCUUAUAGUCUGUCAAUAAAAAAUUGAAAUGAUUAAUUAUGUAUCUAAAAGCAUUUACUGCCUGCACUUUCUGAAUGUCGAUGUAUAAUUAAUCAGUUCUGGUUGGAUCUUUAAAUAAUGAUUCGCCAGCAGAGAGAAAGAGAGUGCUACAUGGGAAAAUGACAUUGUAUCAAUUGUAUAACCAUUUAAUAGAUCAGUAUCAACAUAUAAAUAUGUGUGUGUGUAUUAUGUCAUCUAUAGAAGUAAACUGCAUGCUUGUUGUUUGUGCCUCCUCCAUGUUAUUUGUGGUAAUAUCCAGUUAGAAGUAAACUGCAUGCUUGUUGUUUGUGCCUCCUCCAUGUUAUUUGUGGUAAUAUCCAGUUUGAUGUUCACCUCCAAUGAAUAACACACACAACAAGUGUGAUUGGUGAGCACCACUGUUCAAUGUGUUCCCAAAAGAAUAAAAGUCUACUCUAAAACACGAAUUGGUGUCCAUUGUGAGUUUUAUUCAACACAAUGCAAAGGCAAUUCUGUUAAAGCAGCAUAUUUUGGCAAUUAAAUGGUUUUAUUUUACAGAGACCCAGCAAGUACUGGUGAAAAGUCACCCUUACAAGAAUAUCUACAUAAAUACAGUAACUGUAGUACACAUGGGCUAAACUGCACAUACCAGUUUUUCAAAUCACUGCACUUGCAGCAUUAAAAAUGGCAUGCAGAUUUGCAUUUCUUGAGUCACUAAACUUCUAUUAUUAUUUUAAUGAAUAGGACAACAGCACUGCUGAUACAGUUUCCAAAUGAACACAAUACCACUGCGUGGAAUUAGGCUUUGAAUGAAAUGAUGCACUUGAUGUUUUAUUAACAAGGUUCGGGAGGAGCGCGUCAGAUAAAUAGCCUAAUCAACACCGGUGGAGCACAAUCAAGUAAUCAACACCACAGUAUAAAUACCGCUG
rnacentral:lncRNA from 1 species